UCGGAUUGAUACUAAGCUAUGCGAGUCAUUGUAGCAAUACAAGGCAGACGGCUCAGUAACGCGUAGUCAAUCUACCCUAUGGACGGGAAUAACCUCGGGAAACUGAGAAUAAUGCCCGAUAGAACAUUAUGCCUGGAAUGGUCUAUGUUUCAAAUGAUUUAUCGCCAUAGGAUGGGACUGCGGCCUAUCAGUUUGUUGGUGAGGUAAUGGCCCACCAAGACUAUUACAGGUACGGGCUCUGAGAGGAGUGGCCCGGAGAUGGGUACUGAGACACGGACCCAGGCCCUAUGGGGUGCAGCAGGCGAGAAAACUUUGCAAUGUGCGAAAGCACGACAAGGUUAAUCCGAGUGGUUUCUGCUAAAGAAACCUUUUGUCAGUCCUAGAAACACUAACGAAUAAGGGGUGGGCAAGUUCUGGUGUCAGCCGCCGCGGUAAAACCAGCACCUCAAGUGGUCAGGAUGAUUAUUGGGCCUAAAGCAUCCGUAGCUCGUUUUGUAAGUUUUCGGUUAAAUCCAUACGCUUAACGUAUGGGCUGCCGGGAAUACCGCAUAACUAGGAAGUGGGAGAGGUAGACGGUACUCGGUGGGAAGGGGUAAAAUCCUUUGAUCUAUUGAUGACCACCUGUGGCGAAGGCGGUCUACCAGAACACGUUCGACGGUGAGGGAUGAAAGCUGGGGGAGCAAACCGGAUUAGAUACCCGGGUAGUCCAGCUGUAACUAUGCAAACUCAGUGAUGCAUUGGCUUGUGGCCAUGCAGUGCUGCAGGGAACCGUUAGUUUGCCGC
rnacentral:rRNA from 1 species